rnacentral:rRNA from 1 species
AUGACAGCUGGUUUACAGCUCGGCGUGAUCGGGUCUCUCGCGCUCUCCGUUGCAUCUUCAGUUGCCAUUGUCAUCUGCAACAAAGCUCUCAUCAGCACACUUGGUUUCCCAUUCGCUACAACAUUAACAAGCUGGCAUCUCAUGGUGACCUACUGCACCCUCCAUGUGGCACAACGCUUACACUUUUUUGAGCCCAAGGCAAUUGAUGGACAUACAGUGAUCCUCUUUGGGUUUCUGAACGGCACCUCAAUUGGACUUUUAAACCUUAGUUUAGGAUUCAACUCCAUUGGAUUCUACCAGAUGACGAAACUGGCCAUAAUACCUUUCACUGUGCUGUUGGAGACAAUCUUCCUGAACAAAAGAUUCAGCGAGACUAUCAAGCUCUCUCUUAUGGUCUUACUUCUUGGAGUAGGUAUCGCAUCAGUUACAGAUCUCGAGCUAAAUCUACUUGGGUCCGUCCUUUCUGGCCUCGCCAUCGCCACCACUUGUGUUGGCCAAAUUCUCACAAACACAAUACAGAAGAAACUGAAGGUCUCGUCAACGCAGCUUCUGUACCAAUCUGCGCCAUACCAAGCAGCAAUUUUGUUUGCGACCGGCCCGUUUGUGGAUCGACUCCUUACAAACCGCAGUGUCUUCGCCCACAAAUACACCACUCCAGUUGUGGGUUUCAUCAUCCUAUCUUGCUUGAUUGCGGUAUCUGUGAACUUCAGUACAUUUCUUGUGAUUGGAACGACGUCUCCAGUCACAUACCAGGUGCUUGGCCACCUUAAGACAUGCCUGGUUCUCUCUUUUGGCUACACUCUACUACACGAUCCUUUCACCAUGAAGAACAUAUUAGGCAUUCUGGUCGCCAUAUUUGGUAUGGCAUUGUAUUCCUUCUUCUCAGUCAGGGAGAGCAAGAAGAAGUCAACAAAUGAUGCUCUGCCAGUUUCACAGAUGCCAGAUAAGGAGACUGAACCACUUUUGGCAACCAAAGACGGCAGUGAUAUCAAGAAGGCAAAUGGUGUAUCUCACGGCUGCUAA